GUAUAAAUGUUGUCUAAACAC
rnacentral:siRNA from 1 species